GAUGAACGCUGGCGGCGUGCCUAAUACAUGCAAGUCGAGCGAACAGACGAGGAGCUUACUCCUCUGACGUUAGCGGCGGACGGGUGAGUAACACGUGGAUACCUACCUAUAAGACUGGGAUAACUUCGGGAAACCGGAGCUAAUACCGGAUAAUAUAUUGAACCGCAUGGUUCAAUAGUGAAAGACGGUUUUGCUGUCACUUAUAGAUGGAUCCGCGCCGCAUUAGCUAGUUGGUAAGGUAACGGCUUACCAAGGCAACGAUGCGUAGCCGACCUGAGAGGGUGAUCGGCCACACUGGAACUGAGACACGGUCCAGACUCCUACGGGAGGCAGCAGUAGGGAAUCUUCCGCAAUGGGCGAAAGCCUGACGGAGCAACGCCGCGUGAGUGAUGAAGGUCUUCGGAUCGUAAAACUCUGUUAUUAGGGAAGAACAAAUGUGUAAGUAACUAUGCACGUCUUGACGGUACCUAAUCAGAAAGCCACGGCUAACUACGUG
rnacentral:rRNA from 1 species